rnacentral:sRNA from 1 species
UGCUAGCGAGACAAUUUCUUCGGAAUUUU